rnacentral:rRNA from 1 species
ACGCUGGCGGCAGGCCUAACACAUGCAAGUCGAGCGGUAGCACAGGAGAGCUUGCUCUCUGGGUGACGAGCGGCGGACGGGUGAGUAAUGUCUGGGAAACUGCCUGAUGGAGGGGGAUAACUACUGGAAACGGUAGCUAAUACCGCAUGACCUCGCAAGAGCAAAGUGGGGGACCUUCGGGCCUCACGCCAUCGGAUGUGCCCAGAUGGGAUUAGCUAGUAGGUGGGGUAAUGGCUCACCUAGGCGACGAUCCCUAGCUGGUCUGAGAGGAUGACCAGCCACACUGGAACUGAGACACGGUCCAGACUCCUACGGGAGGCAGCAGUGGGGAAUAUUGCACAAUGGGCGCAAGCCUGAUGCAGCCAUGCCGCGUGUGUGAAGAAGGCCUUAGGGUUGUAAAGCACUUUCAGCGAGGAGGAAGGCGUUGCAGUUAAUAGCUGCAGCGAUUGACGUUACUCGCAGAAGAAGCACCGGCUAACUCUGUGCCAGCAGCCGCGGUAAUACGGAGGGUGCAAGCGUUAAUCGGAAUUACUGGGCGUAAAGCGCACGCAGGCGGUUUGUUAAGUCAGAUGUGAAAUCCCCGAGCUUAACUUGGGAACUGCAUUUGAAACUGGCAAGCUAGAGUCUUGUAGAGGGGGGUAGAAUUCCAGGUGUAGCGGUGAAAUGCGUAGAGAUCUGGAGGAAUACCGGUGGCGAAGGCGGCCCCCUGGACAAAGACUGACGCUCAGGUGCGAAAGCGUGGGGAGCAAAC